AACCCCUUCGAGGAUAUCCGAUAAAAUUGGAACGAUACAGAGAAAAUUAGCAUAGUCCCAUGCAAGAAUGACGUGUACAAAUCGAGAAAUUGUCUAAAUAUUU
rnacentral:snRNA from 1 species